AUUUGCCCAAUCUUUUUGCUGAAGCCAAAUCUUUCAACCAUCUGUCUUGCAACCCGAGAAACCUGCAUAAAGUCGUUUGAUGCUCCGGUUGUUACAUUCUCCGUCCCAAAUAUUACCUCCUCAGCUACCCUGCAAAGAUAUUUCACACAUAAUGGUAGAGUAGAAAACCUCCAUUUACCAUAUUUAAAUGUUUCAAAUAUAUAUCUUCUACUCUGUUCCCUACCAAAGCAAAAACUAUUUCUCAGAGCUUCAUUUAGGUCCUCUAACGAUCAGUCCAGUAUAUCUAGGUUCUUUAUUUCAUUUAUGACACAUUAUGUAUGAAGCCAAGGGGCAGAGCAGGUCUGCCAGUCACUGAGAGAAAAAAAUUCUUCACUGAAAGUACUACUUAUGUAAUAAACAAAACGGCUGCGAGUAAGAAACAAAAUACCUUCCACCAAGGGCAACAGCCAUCUGAUUCUCGAGGUAGCUUCUGCUGUAUAGGCCGGACUCUAGCCUCUCUUCACUUG